AUACUUACAUGGCAGGGGAGAGAUCAUGAUCACAAAGGUGGUUUUCCCAGGCGAGGCUUAUCCACUGCAUUCCAGAUGCGCUAACCGCUGCGAUUUUCCCAAAUGUGGGAAUCUCGACUGCAUCAUUUGUGGUAGUGGGGGACUGUAUUCAUGCUCUCCCCUA